rnacentral:rRNA from 1 species
GACGAACGCUGGCGGCGUGCCUAACACAUGCAAGUCGAACGAAGAGCGAUGGAAGCUUUCUUCUAUCAAUCUUAGUGGCGAACGGGUGAGUAACGCGUAAUCAACCUGCCCUUCAGAGGGGGACAACAGUUGGAAACGACUGCUAAUACCGCAUACGAUCUAAUCUCGGCAUCCAGGAUAGAUUAAAGGUGGCCUCUACAUGUAAGCUAUCACUGAAGGAGGGGAUUGCGUCUGGUUAGCUAGUUGGAGGGGUAACGGCCCACCAAGGCGAGGAUCAGUAGCCGGUCUUAGAAGAUGAACGGCCAAAAUGGGACUGAGACAAGGCCCAGACUCCUACGGGAGGGAGCAGUGGGGAAACUUUCGACAUGGACGGAAGUCUGGAGGAGGAAAGCCGGGGGAGGGAAGGCGGCCUUCGGGUUGGAAAGCUCUGUUAAUCGGGAAGGAAGGCCUGCUUGCGAAUAGCGAGAAGGAUUGACGGUACCGGAAGAGAAAGCCACGGCUAACUACGUG